CUUGAAACCAUAUAAGAGGUCCAGCCUGCCCAGUGACUAAGUUCAACGGCCGCGGUAUCCUAACCGUGCGAAGGUAGCGUAAUCACUUGUUCUUUAAAUGAGGACUAGUAUGAAUGGCACCACGAGGGUUAUACUGUCUCCUUUCUCUAAUUAAUGAAACUGAUCUCCCCGUGAAGAAGCGGGGAUAAAUUUAUAAGACGAGAAGACCCUAUGGAGCUUUAAACUACGUGACACUGGCUUAUAUUCUACUGUGUUUCAGAAUUAUCACAAUUAUACUAGCUAGAAUGAUUACUAGUUUUAGGUUGGGGUGACCACGGAGCAAAAAUUAACCUCCAUGAUGAACGGAACCUAUUCCUGAGCUAAAAGCUACAACUUUAAGCACUAACAAAUUAACAUUAAUUGACCCAAAAUAUUGAUCAACGAAC
rnacentral:rRNA from 1 species